GGUUGGUCCUUUAUAAUUUAGAUGUGGGUUAACCCGUGGCACGCUAUUAGUGUGAGUGUGUGUUAGUCCUUAUCUUCAUGGUAAGGACCGACGGUUCGCUUAAAAUGAUGUUAAAUUGGACGGUUCUCGCAUAGGAUAUCCAAGGGUUAUUCACGCUAUCGUCUAUGAAUAAUAGUGCUGGGUUGCAUGCUACACCAAUGUGGAACGUAGUCAUUCUAUAGGUGGAGCUCAAGAGAUCCAUGGUCAGGGUAUUACAGGGCUGUUCACGCCUGGGUCUUUGGGCAUCGCCAAUGUUGAAGCAUGUUGUGGGUUCCUGGAUAAUGGUGCUGAGUUGUUUGCGACUCCGAUCGUUGAACGCAACCAGGAUUUAAUAUGUGAUACACAUGAGGUAAAUGGAGAGGAUAUUCCAGGGUUGUUUACGUCUGCGUCUUUGCACAACAUCAAUAUUGAAGACGAGCCCAUUAUAGUCAAUUCUGGAGUAUUGGGAACAGGUGCAUGUGAAUCACCGGCACACGGUGAACCACAAAUCAUUGACCCGAAGCAACGACGGAGGAAGAGGGACAGAGCACGGAGGGCGUCAAUGUCAGCAGAAGAGAGGGCGCUAAUUAAUCAACGUCGCCGACAAUCAUACCACGCAAAGAAGUCGCAGAGGUCGGAAGAAAUAAUUGAAUGCGAAAAGAUACGGAACAGACUUCCUGCACGGAAGCAGGGGAAGUGCGAAUACAAGCGUAGAAUGAAAGAAUAUAAAGCGAAUAACUUACACCCUGAUUCCAUUGCUAUGGCAAACCCUCAAUUUGUUCCCAGACUUAUAUUCCUAAGCCCUGUAGAGCCCGUGAAAAGUGCGAGUGAAUGGGUUGUUCAGGAAUCCAGUGGAGCACCUGUUUAUAUACAACCGUCAGUUGAACAGUAACAGGAUGAGCAAGACAUGGAGUGUGGAGGUGGACAUAGUCCGGUUAGGCGUCGUGUACCUACUGGUAAGAGAAUUUCACUCCGAAAUCGAAGAAAUGUGGAGUUCCAUGCUACCGUUGCGAA